rnacentral:rRNA from 1 species
UACGUAGGGACCAAGCGUUGUCCGGAAUCAUUGGGCGUAAAGAGCGUGUAGGCGGCUUGUUAAGUCUUGCGUGAAAUCUCGGGGCUCAACCCCGAGCGGUCGUGAGAAACUGGCAGGCUAGAGUGCGGGAGAGGAGAGUGGAAUUCCCGGUGUAGCGGUGAAAUGCGCAGAUAUCGGGAAGAACACCCGUGGCGAAGGCGGUUCUCUGGGACGGUACUGGACGCUGAGACGCGAAAGCGUGGGGAGCGAACAGG